AAAAUAUUAUAAUGUUUUGAUCAACGAAUAAAAAUGGAUGAUGGUUUAUGGUUACAGAUAAAUGCUGCCGCCUCUGAAUUUCAAAAAAAAUUUGCCACCCGAAGCGAUGGUACCCCCUUGUCCACCUAAAAAUACGUCUCUGCGAAGGAUACUUCGAGUGACUUCAAUUUACCAUAAGAAGGAUAGAAGAUUCGAUACGGACAGACGCGUAGGACCAGUAUGUGGCUCAGUCAGACGUGAUCCGCAUUGGAAAUGACCGCAUAUCGUUCACCGACGGUUAGUGGUGUGCUAUACGUAGAUAUCUCUAUAUGCGAAACAAUCAACAGUAGGACCGUCGAUCGCAUCAAUUGGGAACAUUGAUAGGUUAAUCGUCCUUUUCCCCCAGCGCAUCAGGAAUUGGCGACACUAACAUAAGUUGAUAGUGUGAAUAGUUCGUGGACAGAACUGGUUUGAAAAAUUAGUAUGGCCCAUAAACAACGGACACGUUAUGUCCAAGUAGAUGUGUUGUGAGAAGUGUGGUGAAGGGGAACACGAUUGCGGUUUUAGCGCUUCAACAGUUGUGUGUGGUUCGACGGAAGGAAGAACCGAAAUACCAUUCAUGAAUUAAAACAACCGAUAAUAUUUGUCAAGUUCAUUGCUUUCUUGCGGAUACAAGGCCAAAGCGGAUGAGGAAGCUGAACAUCAAGGAAACCUUUUACAUUAUGGUAGUUGAAAAUAAAAAUUUGCUUCGUCAAAGCAGGGUUGAACGUGUGAUGAACGAAAACGUGAAUUUGAAGUAAUUAGCGACCACUUAAAUUUACUUAUUGGUUUUUUAUACAACUAUUUCCACUGUACCUAAGGGUUUUUUUUUUUUUUUGUAACAGUUGACCCCUAAUUGUGGAUUAGAUUGAAGAUACCAUAAUAAAAAACCACAUCUUGUGUUUUAGCUCAUGCUUCUUUACUUAUCGAUAGGAAUUCAUCUGUUUUAUGAACCAAAUAUGGGCGCAACUAGAGCUCAAAUAUUGAGAGUGCUGAAAUUGUCGAAAGUAAAAUUUAAUGGUAUUCAACUGGUAUUACUAUAGAUUAUAUAGAUCUGAAGAAAAAAAAACAGGAGUGCUACAUUUGAACUCGGGGGUCCUAAAACCCCUAUUGCGCCCCCCUAGUUGCGCCUACGGAACCUAAGGUGGUGUAGAAACGUUAUAUUGUAUAU